ACAUGUCUUUUUGGUUAUUUAAUAUAAAGUCUGACCUGCCCACUGAAUAUAGUUUUAAAGGGCCGCAGUAUUUUGACUGUGCAAAGGUAGCAUAAUCAUUAGUCUUUUAAUUGAAGGCUGGUAUGAAUGGUUGGAUGAGGUACAAGCUGUGUCAUAAAAAUUAAUAUUUGAAUUUACCUUUUUAGUCAAAAGGCUAAAAUUUUAUUAAAAGACGAGAAGACCCUAUAGAGCUUUAUAUAAUUAAUAUUUAGAUUAUUAAUAUUUUUUAAAUUUAAUUAUUUUAUUAUAUUUUGUUGGGGUGACAAUAAAAUUUAUAAAACUUUUAUUAUUAUUAUUCAUUAAUUUAUGUUUAAAUGAUCCAAUUUUAUUGAUUAUAAAUUUAAGUUACCUUAGGGAUAACAGCGUAAUUUUUUUUGAGAGUUCUUAUCGACAAAAAAGAUUGCGACCUCGAUGUUGGAUUAAGAGUAAUUUUGGGUGUAGAAGUUCAAAAUUUAAGUCUGUUCGACUUUUAAAUUCUUACAUGAUC
rnacentral:rRNA from 1 species